rnacentral:rRNA from 1 species
GAUGAACGCUAGCAGGAGGCCUAACACAUGCAAGCCGAGCGGUAUUGUUUCUUCGGAAAUGAGAGAGCGGCGUACGGGUGCGGAACACGUGUGCAACCUGCCUUUAUCUGGGGGAUAGCCUUUCGAAAGGAAGAUUAAUACUCCAUAAUAUAUUGAACGGCAUCGUUUAAUAUUGAAAGCUCCGGCGGAUAGAGAUGGGCACGCGCAAGAUUAGCUAGUUGGUGAGGUAACGGCUCACCAAGGCGAUGAUCUUUAGGGGGCCUGAGAGGGUGAUCCCCCACACUGGUACUGAGACACGGACCAGACUCCUACGGGAGGCAGCAGUGAGGAAUAUUGGUCAAUGGGUGCAAGCCUGAACCAGCCAUCCCGCGUGAAGGACGACUGCCCUAUGGGUUGUAAACUUCUUUUGUAUAGGGAUAAACCUACCCUCGUGAGGGUAGCUGAAGGUACUAUACAAAUAAGCACCGGCUAACUCCGUGCCAGCAGCCGCGGUAAUACGGAGGGUGCAAGCGUUAUCCGGAUUUAUUGGGUUUAAAGGGUCCGUAGGCGGACUUAUAAGUCAGUGGUGAAAGCCUGUCGCUUAACGAUAGAACUGCCAUUGAUACUGUAAGUCUUGAGUAUAUUUGAGGUAGCUGGAAUAAGUAGUGUAGCGGUGAAAUGCAUAGAUAUUACUUAGAACACCAAUUGCGAAGGCAGGUUACCAAGAUAUAACUGACGCUGAGGGACGAAAGCGUGGGGAGCGAACAGGAUUAGAUACCCUGGUAGUCCACGCCGUAAACGAUGCUAACUCGUUUUUGGGCUUUAGGGUUCAGAGACCAAGCGAAAGUGAUAAGUUAGCCACCUGGGGAGUACGCUCGCAAGAGUGAAGCUCAAAGGAAUUGACGGGGGCCCGCACAAGCGGUGGAUUAUGUGGUUUAAUUCGAUGAUACGCGAGGAACCUUACCAAGACUUAAGUGGGAAUUGACAGCUUUAGAAAUAGAGCUUUCUUCGGACAAUUUUCAAGGUGCUGCAUGGUUGUCGUCAGCUCGUGCCGUGAGGUGUUAGGUUAAGUCCUGCAACGAGCGCAACCCCUGUCACUAGUUGCCAUCAUUCAGUUGGGGACUCUAGUGAGACUGCCUACGCAAGUAGAGAGGAAGGUGGGGAUGACGUCAAAUCAUCACGGCCCUUACGUCUUGGGCCACACACGUAAUACAAUGGCCGGUACAGAGGGCAGCUACACAGCGAUGUGAUGCAAAUCUCGAAAGCCGGUCUCAGUUCGGAUUGGAGUCUGCAACUCGACUCUAUGAAGCUGGAAUCGCUAGUAAUCGCGCAUCAGCCAUGGCGCGGUGAAUACGUUCCCGGGCCU